rnacentral:rRNA from 1 species
GAUGAACGCUGGCGGCGUGCUUAACACAUGCAAGUCGAACGAGAAUCAACGGAUUGAGGAUUCGUCCAAAUGAAGUUGAGGAAAGUGGCGGACGGGUGAGUAACGCGUGAGGAACCUGCCUCGGAGUGGGGAAUAACAGUUGGAAACAGCUGCUAAUACCGCAUAAUGCAACGAAAUCGCAUGACUUUGUGCCAAAGAUUUAUCGCUGAAAGAUGGUCUCGCGUCUGAUUAGCUAGUUGGUGAGGUAACGGCUCACCAAGGCGACGAUCAGUAGCCGGUCUGAGAGGAUGAACGGCCACAUUGGGACUGAGAUACGGCCCAG